GACGGAGGGGGCAAGCGUUGUCCGGACUCACUGGGCGUAAAGGGCGCGUAGGCGGUUAGAUAAGUCAGAUGUGAAAUUCCGGGGCUCAACCCCGGAGCUGCAUUUGAAACUAUUUUGGCUAGAGGGUAGUUAGGGAAAACGGAAUUCCACGUGUAGCGGUGAAAUGCGUAGAUAUGUGGAAGAACACCAGUGGUGAAGACGGUUUUCUGGGCUAUUCCUGACGCUGAGGCGCGAAAGCUAGGGGAGCAAACAGG
rnacentral:rRNA from 1 species